rnacentral:misc_RNA from 1 species
CUCGCCGGCAUAAUGUCAUGGCUGGCUCGUUCCCUGGCCAACUCUCUUCGACUCGACAACGACGAUGGCGAUGAUGACGCCGACUCAGAAAACGACGUCGCACCCGACACUCCACACGACCCAUCACCUGCAACAUGCAUUGAAGAAGAAAUGGCAAAAGGAACAGAAAUUCAAGAUGAAGGAGAAGAAGCGCAAACAAGAGGCGUCAAAGAGGAUCUUUCAGAACUCAAGCAAACCCUAACGCGUCAACUGUGGGGCGUCGCCACUUUUCUUGCUCCUCCGCCGACUUCCAACGACCGAUCACUCUCUAAUUUGAAUCAAUUCGAAGCAUCUCAUCGAUCCGACGAGGGAGAACACUCCGAUUCCGAAGAAAGAUUGGGGAUCAGGCAAGAUUUUGCAGAGAUCGGAGGGAGAUUUAGGAGUGGGGUCACGGAGAUUUCGAAGAUGGCAUCGAAUUAUUUUCCUUUUGGAUCAGAGGAAGACGAGGUAGAAAAUAAUGAGGAGGGAAAUGAGACACAUAGGGAGGAAUUGGAGAUCGAGGAGCCUGAUGAGUGGGGCGCAGGAGCCAUCGGGAUUACCGACGAGGUGUUGGCAUUUGCGAGGAAUAUUGCUAUGCAUCCUGAGACUUGGCUGGAUUUUCCCCUGGAUGAGGAAGAAGAUUUAGAUGGUUUCACUUUGUUGCCUAGGUGCUGCUUAAUAAGUGGUUGGAUGUUACCGUGAUUUAUUUGUUUUACUCAGCAACAAAAGCCAAGCUUCUGCCUUCUGCAAUCCAUGCCAUAUUUAUAAACCUUUCCUUUUUCCCCCUUUCCUCCACUUUUAUAGAUUUUGUCAUGUCUGAUGCCCAACAAGAGCAUGCUUUGGCCAUUGAAGGACUCGCUCCUAGACUAGCUGCUCUCAGAAUUGAACUUUGUCCUUGCCAUAUGACUGAGAGUUACUUUUGGAAAGUAUAUUUUGUUCUUCUGCAUUCAAGACUCAACAAACAUGAUGCAGAAAUUUUAUCUACACCUCAGGUAAUAUUUUUCUCUUUUUAAUUCUGGUAGUCAAGUUUCCUAGGUCCUUAUGGUAUGAAGUCCUUUUUUAUGUCCAAUUGAAGAUUCUUGCUAUGGUUUCACGUUUUUAAGCACUGCAACUGGUAAAUGUAUAAAUAUGAGUUGUGCAAGUCAAAUUUUGCCCUUUUUUCUGGUAGUGCUUUUGGGAAGGCUGGAUGAGCUGAUGUAAUGAAAUUGAAAUUUUCAUCCUUAAUAUAUGGAUGCAUGGUUCGCCAGUUUGCCUAUACAAAAUUCACUCUCCAGUAAUCUAAGAAAAUGCGUUAUGUUUUAAUUAAUUUUAAAAAUUGUGAAUUAUUUGAGACAAUCUCAAUCUAAAGGAUUAUUUGCUUCGCACAGGACUUUGUUUGACUCUUGCCCUUUUGACCUUGGUUGAUGGUUGUUCCCACACAUUGCAUAUAAAGCCCUAUUUCAAGGAGCUAAGAAAAAUGACAAAUUAUUCAUUUAAGUUUAUAAAUGCGAUAUUCUUGUAGCUCGUUUCUUUGUAUCUUGACUAACUUUCAUCCAUUCUGCACUUCAUUAAUGGAUCAGUCACUUUAUUAUUUUUUUCACGCAAAGGUUGUUUGAAUGAUCUUGCAUGGAAUAUUUUAGUUCACUGCUUCAAUUGGGUAUUUACUUGAAAAUUCAUAGGUUAAUAAAUGCGUCAUUGAUAAUUGUAGUGGUUUGAGAACUGGGAAUAUGGUUGAGGUAAAUUAUAGUAUUCCUAUUGGUUGCAGGUAAUGGAAGCCAGAGCAUUGUGGAUGCAGGAGUUACAUAAACAAACGAAGCCAGAAAAUGACUGGUUUGGAAAAGGCACUUGCAAUGCAAAUGAUAAUGCGGUAUUGCAUGAAGAGUUUGAAUGUGUCAGGACAUUUGAUUUUGAACCAGCGACCAAUAUGGCAACAGAUUAUGAAACUCAGAAGCACCCAGUUGUAAGUUCAGACAUGCAGUUCAUUGAUAAGUCGGUUAUUGAAGAAAAGCCAGAGACAAAAAUUGUGAAUAAGGAUGUGCUUGCCAGUCAAUCUUCUAAGGUACUGCUUCCAAAUUAUGAGGAUGAUGAGGAUGACUGGCCAGAUGAGGAAGAUUCUGAUUUAGGCAGUUACAAAGCCACAUUUCCUGCAGGAAAUGAAGAAGACAUAUCUUUCAGUGAUCUUGAAGAUGAUGCCACGAGCACCAUACCCAUCAAAUCAAAGAUGCUUUCCAAGGGUUCUGAAACUUCAACAUCAAAAACCUAAGUAUGUAGCUUCAGCUAAGCGUAAGCUUGGCUGAUUGUACUAUUGCUUGAACUGUAAAGUCGUCUGGUGUGAACUGAACACUGUGAUAAAGAGUGAAGACCUUGCAACUCUCUGAGCGUCCAGAACUUUGGUGGAGUUGCUGUGAUGUGUCUUGCGAGCACUUUUGUACAUGAUGGUUGUUUGAAUUGAGUUACCUAUUAGAGAGAUCAUAUGUUGAUUUGUUGUGCAAAGGUUGUAAACAGAACUUGUUAAACGACUCAGCAAGGAUUUUAUGAAUGAAAUUGGCCAAUUUUACAGCGG